rnacentral:rRNA from 1 species
AGGCAGCAGUGGGGAAUAUUGCACAAUGGGCGCAAGCCUGAUGCAGCCAUGCCGCGUGUAUGAAGAAGGCCUUCGGGUUGUAAAGUACUUUCAGCAGUGAGGAAGGCGGAGUCGUUAAUAGCGGCCUCGUUUGACGUUAGCUGCAGAAGAAGCACCGGCUAACUCCGUGCCAGCAGCCGCGGUAAUACGGAGGGUGCGAGCGUUAAUCGGAAUUACUGGGCGUAAAGCGCAUGCAGGUGGUUUGUUAAGUCAGAUGUGAAAGCCCGGGGCUCAACCUCGGAAUUGCAUUUGAAACUGGCAGACUAGAGUACUGUAGAGGGGGUAGAAUUUCAGGUGUAGCGGUGAAAAUGCGUAGAGAUCUGAAGGAAUACCGGUGGCGAAGGCGGCCCCCUGGACAGAUACUGACACUCAGAUGCGAAAGCGUGGGGAGCAAACAGGAUUAGAUACCCUGGUAG